rnacentral:rRNA from 1 species
UCUGGUUGAUCCUGCCAGUAGUCAUAUGCUUGUCUCAAAGAUUAAGCCAUGCAUGUCUAAGUAUAAGCAAUUUAUACAGUGAAACUGCGAAUGGCUCAUUAAAUCAGUUAUCGUUUAUUUGAUAGUUCCUUUACUACAUGGUAUAACUGUGGUAAUUCUAGAGCUAAUACAUGCUUAAAAUCUCGACCCUUUGGAAGAGAUGUAUUUAUUAGAUAAAAAAUCAAUGUCUUCGGACUCUUUGAUGAUUCAUAAUAACUUUUCGAAUCGCAUGGCCUUGUGCUGGCGAUGGUUCAUUCAAAUUUCUGCCCUAUCAACUUUCGAUGGUAGGAUAGUGGCCUACCAUGGUUUCAACGGGUAACGGGGAAUAAGGGUUCGAUUCCGGAGAGGGAGCCUGAGAAACGGCUACCACAUCCAAGGAAGGCAGCAGGCGCGCAAAUUACCCAAUCCUAAUUCAGGGAGGUAGUGACAAUAAAUAACGAUACAGGGCCCAUUCGGGUCUUGUAAUUGGAAUGAGUACAAUGUAAAUACCUUAACGAGGAACAAUUGGAGGGCAAGUCUGGUGCCAGCAGCCGCGGUAAUUCCAGCUCCAAUAGCGUAUAUUAAAGUUGUUGCAGUUAAAAAGCUCGUAGUUGAACUUUGGGCCCGGUUGGCCGGUCCGAUUUUUUCGUGUACUGGAUUUCCAACGGGGCCUUUCCUUCUGGCUAACCUUGAGUCCUUGUGGCUCUUGGCGAACCAGGACUUUUACUUUGAAAAAAUUAGAGUGUUCAAAGCAGGCGUAUUGCUCGAAUAUAUUAGCAUGGAAUAAUAGAAUAGGACGUUUGGUUCUAUUUUGUUGGUUUCUAGGACCAUCGUAAUGAUUAAUAGGGACGGUCGGGGGCAUCAGUAUUCAAUUGUCAGAGGUGAAAUUCUUGGAUUUAUUGAAGACUAACUACUGCGAAAGCAUUUGCCAAGGACGUUUUCAUUAAUCAAGAACGAAAGUUAGGGGAUCGAAGAUGAUCAGAUACCGUCGUAGUCUUAACCAUAAACUAUGCCGACUAGGGAUCGGGUGGUGUUUUUUUAAUGACCCACUCGGCACCUUACGAGAAAUCAAAGUCUUUGGGUUCUGGGGG